AUUUAUUAUGUACUACCUUUUUAAUAUAGUUUGAGGUUAUUGUUAAUUAAUAUCAAAUUUAUUACGUAUAACUCUUUUUUUCUACCUAAGAAUUGUAUUGACUUUCAAUUGCGAGUCAUCCAUUAUAGUAAAGUUCGUAUUGGGAUUUAUUUGGAACAUUACUGCAUUGUACGAUUGCACAAUUAUUAUUUUUUUUAUUAAUGGCUAAAAACAAGACCCAAAAAAUAGGUUAUUUGAUGUGAAAGACAAUUAGUCAGUAAAAAAUUAAAAAAUUAAUUGACGAUACAGGUGGAUAGCUUUUUAACUCUUACACUCACACUGGCUUACGUGGAAAAUUAUAAGACAUACAGGUAUAUCUGUAUUACGUAUACUGGACAAUUUUAUUGGAUCGGGUGCAUUUGUUAUCUAUGUUACGGUAUACUUAAAUAUCUACUCACACCAUAAUACUGAGAUAUCAGAUUUUUUUUAAAUUUUGUAAGAUUCAAAAAGUCGCGAUGUCACGAUUAAUGGAUAUGAAAGAUAAAAUUUUAUGUGGUCACUAUAAAAAAAAUAUGAUAAUAAAAUGUAAUGUUAAAGCAUAAGAAACUUUUAUUCGGCAUAAAAGCUAUGUAUGAUUCAAAGCCAUGUAUUAUCUACUUGAGUGAGAUUAUCACAACAAGAUGACCGUGUUCACAACAUUUAUCACCAAAGAAAAUUUGAAUUGACAAAGAUGUCAAGUGGAUUUAAUUGAAUUGCAACUAAAUCAGCUACUAUGAUAUUAUGUUAAAUAUUUAUGGAGAAAUUUUUACAAUAUACUUUACUACACUGGCAUCAUAAGCAGCUGAGUGUGUCCGACCGGUACGAAGUCGGUGAACAUACUUAGUUGAGCCCAAGAAUUAAUCUGAAUUAUUUGAUUACAUUAAAUAUGAUAUUACAUCUAGAACGAGAGCGAUAAGUUGCUAUUUUUAUCAAAGAUAUACUCUGAAUCUUUCCGAUAUAUUAUAAAUUUAGUGGUAGGCGACGAUUUUUUUUCACUUUGCUCAAUGUUUGUAUUUUUAUGUAUAAAGCCGAUCGGCGUAGAAAAUAAAUAAAUAAAAUAAUUAUACUAAAAUUGGUAAUUUUAUUAUUUGUAGAAAUCAUUCUUUUUCACUUGU